rnacentral:rRNA from 1 species
AAAUUGAAGAGUUUGAUCAUGGCUCAGAUUGAACGCUGGCGGCAGGCCUAACACAUGCAAGUCGAACGGUAACAGGAAGCAGCUUGCUGCUUUGCUGACGAGUGGCGGACGGGUGAGUAAUGUCUGGGAAACUGCCUGAUGGAGGGGGAUAACUACUGGAAACGGUGGCUAAUACCGCAUAACGUCGCAAGACCAAAGAGGGGGACCUUCGGGCCUCUUGCCAUCAGAUGUGCCCAGAUGGGAUUAGCUAGUUGGUGAGGUAACGGCUCACCAAG